rnacentral:rRNA from 17 species
AGAAAAUUUUCAACGGUGGAUAUCUAGGUUCCCGUGACGAUGAAGAACGCAGCGAAAUGCGAUACGCAAUGCGAAUUGCAGAACCGCGAGUCAUCAGAUCUUUGAACGCAAGUGGUGGAGGUGUAAAAACCUUCAUGUUUGUUUCAGUGUGGAA